GAACAUCAGUUUAAUUAGUAAACAAUUAAACACAACAGUUAAACAGUUUUAGCUGUCAAAAAAAAUAUUUAA